rnacentral:rRNA from 1 species
AUCCAGACUCCUACGGGAGGCAGCAGUGGGGAAUAUUGCACAAUGGGGGAAACCCUGAUGCAGCGACGCCGCGUGAGCGAUGAAGUAUUUCGGUAUGUAAAGCUCUAUCAGCAGGGAAGAAGAUGACGGUACCUGACUAAGAAGCCCCGGCUAACUACGUGCCAGCAGCCGCGGUAAUACGUAGGGGGCAAGCGUUAUCCGGAUUUACUGGGUGUAAAGGGAGCGUAGACGGUGAGACAAGUCUGAAGUGAAAGCCCGGGGCUCAACCCCGGGACUGCUUUGGAAACUGCCUGACUGGAGUGCUGGAGAGGCAAGCGGAAUUCCUAGUGUAGCGGUGAAAUGCGUAGAUAUUAGGAGGAACACCAGUGGCGAAGGCGGCCUACUGGACGGUGACUGACGCUGAGGCUCGAAAGCGUGGGGAGCAAACAGGAUUAGAUACCCCUGUA